rnacentral:lncRNA from 1 species
AGAUGAAGGAGGUGGUGGAGGAGGUGGCUGCAUUGGUUGUUGCAAUGGUUGAUGACCAUGCAGAGGAGGAUACUGUGAUGAAGGGUAGUAUCCUCCUGAUGCUGGUGGAGGUGGAGGUGGAGGUGGAUAUGAUGAGUCUGGUGGUGGUGGUGGAGGUGGUUGUUGAUAUGGAUAUUGUUGGUGAGGUGGCGGUGGUGGUGGUGGAGGAUAAUGUUGUGAGAAUUUUUGCUGGUUAGGAAUUUGCAUUUGAUUGUAUUGAUUAGGUCUUUGCUGCUGCUGCUGCUGUUGUGGUGGUGGUGGUGGUGGUGGUGGUGGUAGUGUGGAUUGUGA